rnacentral:rRNA from 1 species
GUAGGUGGCAAGCGUUGUCCGGAAUUAUUGGGCGUAAAGCGCGCGCAGGCGGUUCUUUAAGUCUGAUGUGAAAGCCCACGGCUCAACCGUGGAGGGUCAUUGGAAACUGGAGAACUUGAGUACAGAAGAGGAAAGCGGAAUUCCACGUGUAGCGGUGAAAUGCGUAGAGAUGUGGAGGAACACCAGUGGCGAAGGCGGCUUUCUGGUCUGUAACUGACGCUGAGGCGCGAAAGCGUGGGGAGCAAACAGGGACUAGAUACCCUGGUAGUCCACGCCGUAAACGAUGAGUGCUAAGUGUUAGGGGGUUUCCGCCCCCUUAGUGCUGCAGCUAACGCAUUAAGCACUCCGCCUGGGGAGUACGGCCGCAAGGCUG